GCUUAACGAACUAAAUACCUGUACGCCGAUUUUGUAGGAGCUUCCCGUCUAAUCCUCUUAUCCAUCUUCCACGAGUGGCAUAUUCCUCUUCCACGGCGGCGGUGACAACAAAUACAUGCAGAAGUGGCGGCGGCGGCGACUGUACCCCGCGCUUGUACUGGCCGGCUGGACGUGACUUUGUAGGAGUGAGCUGGUCAUUUCCUUUGGCAUCUCAUCCGGUGCCUAUCUGCGAUGGUGAUGGCUAAGUACUGCCAAGGUUUCAAACGAUUGUAGCACAUCUAAUGCAUCUUGACAGGUUGGAUUCUUGAGUUGGAAUGAUAAUCUCAUCAUACACGACUUCAUAUGAGGUGACUGAUUCGAUCCAACCCGGUUUUGAUAGAUGCGGCGCGUGCCAGUCAUCAUUCAACCAUCACGCGGCCUGCUGAAUGUCGACGUGACACACUCGCGGGCGACGACGCCUUCCGUCACACGGAUUACUGCAAUGCUCUGACGGACGUCGAGGACCACAAUCACAUUGAUUCGACAAUGUUCCUCUAAUUUGUGUUCGUGACACCACAUACAAUGAUACCAGAUCUAGACGCUUGGAACUAAAUUGUACAGUACUCUUUUUUGUGGAUUAUACUCCAUUUAAUUCAUGUAUCUUCUU